rnacentral:rRNA from 1 species
AUUGAACGCUGGCGGCAGGCCUAACACAUGCAAGUCGAGCGGAUGAAGGGAGCUUGCUCCUGGAUUCAGCGGCGGACGGGUGAGUAAUGCCUAGGAAUCUGCCUGGUAGUGGGGGAUAACGUCCGGAAACGGGCGCUAAUACCGCAUACGUCCUGAGGGAGAAAGUGGGGGAUCUUCGGACCUCACGCUAUCAGAUGAGCCUAGGUCGGAUUAGCUAGUUGGUGGGGUAAGGGCCUACCAAGGCGACGAUCCGUAACUGGUCUGAGAGGAUGAUCAGUCACACUGGAACUGAGACACGGUCCAGACUCCUACGGGAGGCAGCAGUGGGGAAUAUUGGACAAUGGGCGAAAGCCUGAUCCAGCCAUGCCGCGUGUGUGAAGAAGGUCUUCGGAUUGUAAAGCACUUUAAGUUGGGAGGAAGGGCAGUAAGUUAAUACCUUGCUGUUUUGACGUUACCAGCAGAAUAAGCACCGGCUAACUUCGUG